rnacentral:rRNA from 1 species
CUCCUACGGGAGGCAGCAGUCGAGAAUUUUUCACAAUGGGCGAAAGCCUGAUGGAGCGACGCCGCGUGGGGGAUGAAUGGCUUCGGCCCGUAAACCCCUGUCAUUUGCGAACAAACCUUACCGGUUAACAACCGGUGAGCUGAUUGUAGCGGAAGAGGAAGGGACGGCUAACUCUGUGCCAGCAGCCGCGGUAAUACAGAGGUCCCAAGCGUUGUUCGGAUUCACUGGGCGUAAAGGGUGCGUAGGUGGUGAGGUAAGUCGGAUGUGAAAUCUCCGGGCUCAACCCGGAAAUGGCAUUGGAAACUACCUUGCUAGAGGAUUUGAGGGGGGAUUGGAAUACUUGGUGUAGCAGUGAAAUGCGUAGAUAUCAAGUGGAACACCAGUGGCGAAGGCGAAUCCCUGGAAAAUACCUGACACUGAGGCACGAAAGCUAGGGGAGCAAACAGGAUUAGAUACCCUGGUAGUCCUAGCCCUAAACGGUGCUUGCUUGCUGUAAGAGGAAUCGACCCCUCUUGUGGCGGAGCUAACGCGUUAAGCAAGCCGCCUGGGAAGUACGGUCGCAAGAUUAAAACUCAAAGAAAUUGACGGGGGCCUGCACAAGCGGUGGAGUAUGUGGCUUAAUUCGAUGCAACGCGAAGAACCUUACCUGGCCUUGACAUGCACAUAGUAGAAGCCUGAAAGGGUGACGAGGUAGCAAUACCAGUGUGCACAGGUGCUGCAUGGCUGUCGUCAGCUCGUGUCGUGAGAUGUUGGGU